rnacentral:rRNA from 1 species
CAUGCAGUCGAACGGUAGAGGGGGCAACCCCUUGAGAGUGGCGAACGGGUGAGUAAUAUAUCGGAACGUGCCCAGUCGUGGGGGAUAACGUAGCGAAAGUUACGCUAAUACCGCAUACGAUCUACGGAUGAAAGCGGGGGAUCGCAAGACCUCGCGCGACUGGAGCGGCCGAUAUCAGAUUAGGUAGUUGGUGGGGUAAAGGCUCACCAAGCCGACGAUCUGUAGCUGGUCUGAGAGGACGACCAGCCACACUGGAACUGAGACACGGUCCAGACUCCUACGGGAGGCAGCAGUGGGGAAUUUUGGACAAUGGACGCAAGUCUGAUCCAGCCAUUCCGCGUGCAGGAUGAAGGCCCUCGGGUUGUAAACUGCUUUUGUACGGAACGAAAAGGUCUCUCCUAAUACGAGAGGCUCAUGACGGUACCGUAAGAAUAAGCACCGGCUAACUACGUGCCAGCAGCCGCGGUAAUACGUAGGGUGCAAGCGUUAAUCGGAAUUACUGGGCGUAAAGCGUGCGCAGGCGGUUAUAUAAGACAGAUGUGAAAUCCCCGGGCUCAACCUGGGAACUGCAUUUGUGACUGUAUAGCUAGAGUACGGUAGAGGGGGAUGGAAUUCCGCGUGUAGCAGUGAAAUGCGUAGAUAUGCGGAGGAACACCGAUGGCGAAGGCAAUCCCCUGGACCUGUACUGACGCUCAUGCACGAAAGCGUGGGGAGCAAACAGGAUUAGAUACCCUGGUAGUCCACGCCCUAAACGAUGUCAACUGGUUGUUGGGUCUUAACUGACUCAGUAACGAAGCUAACGCGUGAAGUUGACCGCCUGGGGAGUACGGCCGCAAG